AGGCGUGUGUGACAGAGUGAAGUAACAAAGGAAGUGAAACUUCUUUACUCAGGGGCAGGGCACGUACGCACACACUCUCUCUCUCUCCCUCUCUCUCAGACACACACACAUUUAUUUAUUGUAGUAUUUAUUAUUUUUAUUGGACAGACAGUUACAGUCAAGACUUUCGGAGCAGAACCUGAGGAGACAGAAGGCAACCAGGGUACAAGUUUACAGGAUCAGCCGAGUUAAAGCAGCUGUAUUGUUCAGACACGGUGAGGGAGCACUACUGGAAUUUCAGCCUUCUCCUCCCUCAAGUCCUGACAAGUGUUUUAGAAAAUAAUGUCGACCUCAAACUAUGAACAAAGCAGCAGCGAGCCACUGAACAUGGACACAACAAGGGCAGCUGAUGUAGAGAAAGGUUCUGAUGAUCAACACCCCAGACAGACUGACUACAGGGAGCUGGCUGUCUGCAGCAUCAUAUGCGGCUUGUCCUGCUGCGGCAUUAUGUCUCUCAUUUACUCAGUUAAGACUCAAGAGGCCAAUAAGAGACGCGGCAGUGAAGCGAGACAAAAAGCCAAAGAAUAUUCAAAAAAAGCUUUAAAAUGGGGAGUUGGAGCCAUCUUGGUGUGGGUGCUUUUUGUUGCUAUCCUGCCACUGGUGCUGGUACUGCUGUCGUUCCUUUUCACAUUUAUAAACUGAAACAAGCGUCAAAAAAAGGACAACAUCUGAGGUGAAAAAUGCAGUGUCAUGGACGGAUCAUUUGGUUCAAAUGAUCAUUCACCCUCUCACUUCUGAGAUCUUCAACUUUCGUCUCUUCUCGUUAGGGGUCACCAUGUCUCUCCAUCUCCUCCUGUCCUCUGUAUCUCCUUCUGUCACACCAACCGUCCUCAUGCCCUCCUUCACCACAUCCAUAAAUCUCAUCUUCGGCCUUCGUCUUUUCCUUCUACCUGGAAACUCCACCUCAAGCAUUCUUUUCCCAAUAUAUUUUUGAGAUAUUGUAUGUAUAAUGAGAAAUUCAAACAGCGCAGCGUUUGGAUGCCUGAACAACACAAAAACAUAAAACACCUCUACCACCUAGUGGCAGAAAGAUAAUAAAAAUGCAACCUGGGGAAUCUUGGACGCCCAAGAAUGGUGAACCAACUCAAAAAAGGACUGAAAGUGACAAUGAAGGGCCCGAGCACCUCCAGUAUAUCAAAUCUGCCAUGAAUCCAACAAACUGCCUUGGAGGAGGAUGUCAAAAUGUAACACGUGUCAAAACUCGCAAAACUAAAAAUAACUCACUUCCUGUUCAGUAUGGCUAAUACAAUGUAUACUACAGUUUUGUUCGUCUUGGGGUACCCCACACACCUACCAAAUUUGACACAGAUAGGUGAAACUAUAUACCAGGCAAAAGUCUCAAGGACGUGUAGGGGCGCUAUGGAGUCCCCCGGAUACACCUGAGGGCAAACCUCUCUCUCUGAGUAGUGAUAGCCAGGACUGAUGAGUGUACCAAAUUUCAUGAGUUUUCACCCAUGGGAACCACCUCAAAAAUGGACAAGUCUUGAAGAAAAAGAAUACAUAAGAAUCCUUAGGAAAACAAUAGGGCCUUGCACCUCAGUGCGGCGCCCUCUGGUGGACACGGGAGACCGUGCAUCUCCAGUAGAAGAGAGACAAACCUGGAACAAAAUGCUAAACCAAGGAAAAAAUGGAGCCCCAGAAAUUCAGAGUAUAAAACCCUCACAAGACAUGGAGAUGUGAAAAACACCAAACCCCCAAACCAAAAGGCACAGAGAGCUGCAAGACGUCAAAAUUGAAAGACGUCACACAGAGGCAUGGAGGUCAAAAGAAAACGUUGUUACAUAUAGAAUGCAGCAUUUGAGCAGUUGUUCAUUUUGGCCAAAAAAACAAAACAAAACAAAAAAAAAAACAACCAACCAACGCCGGACCGUUACGAUGAACUUUGAAUCUUCUGAACUUGCUUUUUCAUUCCGAUGAAAUUCUAAAGGAUGCAUUAACUUUUCUCACCUGACAGACCAGUGAGCAUUAACCCAGUUCUGAUCGUUAUUGUUAGACACUAUUUUUUUUUAAUGAUGUAUGCAUUAUAGGAAGUGUGUUUAUUCAGAAUCGCUGAAGGAAUGAGAGCAAGGGUUAGGGGAAUGUUCCAUGAAUGAACAAAAAGGGUUUUUUUGUGUGUGUUAGUUAAUCUGUUAUGAAUUACAUCUAUAAAGUUUGACUCAAGGUCGUCUCAAACUGCAUACUCGUAUAUCACUGGAAAUAUAGUCACACUGAGAAAUAUACACAAGACGGCUUAAAGAGGAAGAAAAAAGUCUGGAUCUGAUUGUCAUGUACAAGUACAGUAUGUUCUAGUUUACAACACAGUAUAUACUUUUAAAAGGUGCUGACUGCAAAGUCAUCUGAAUUUUUUGUGUGUGCAUGGCAUUUUCCUCUGUCGCACAUGAACAAGAUCAUGUGGACGAGAUGUGAUCAUUUUGAUGAUUUCCUCCAUUUUGGGAUCAUUUUCUUCCCUCUUGAGGUAAACAGUGCAGCCGUACGGAAACAGCCGAACGCGAGGGAGGAGCUUUAACUAAUUUAGUAUAACUGUGGAACUGUGUCACACCAAGACGGCGACGCCACCAAGAAAACAUCGUGACUCUGCAUCGGCCUCAGACAGUUUUGAGUCACAGGGAUUUGUGUAAUUUGUGGUUGACGUUCGCGAAUAGAUCCGUGAAACAAAACACGACGAAUCUCUUUUCUUUGUUCCUGCUUUUGUGUUCGUUUCUUUCUCUGUAAGAUCAAAACAUUAGGUGUAGAACUCCAUACCAUAUCGCUACCGUGGACUCGAGCCCAUGCAUUCUAAGGCUGAGAUAGCUAAGCGCUAGCUAGAAUGAUUUAGUUAGCUGUCCAGAAAAAUGAGACAGUCAUCCAUCUAACCUUGCUCUAUCUUGCAGUUGCACUCACUAGGCAGGCUUUCCUUUUCUUAUCUGCUGGAGGGAGAGUCGAGUCCGCCAUGUUUGCCCACGCUGACUUGUUUUGGUUAAAAGUAGCUCAGACACGCCCCACGGUGGUCACGUGAUGCGAUAUCGUCUCACACUUGCUUCAGCGAUCUCCGGAGUCAUAAAACGCGGGACGCUUUUUAUCUCGGCAAAAUGUUCACACACAGGAUACACGGUGUGUGCGCGCACGCAGCAGCGAAACAUCUCGAAACUCCAACAGCAACAGAAAUAGAACAUUUUACCCAGAAUUCAACUUUGCAGUCAGAACCUUCAAGUAUUGUCACGGUAUGCAGUUUGAGACCGACCCGUGUUCUCCGUGCACAUGUUCCCACCCCCACUUUCCAACAAGAAGCACAAGCUUGUGUUAUGUUUGUUAUAACACUGUAUUAUUUGAGCUACUGUUGUACAUAUAGUUGUCAUUUUUGUAUUUUUAUACCAUGGACAUUAAAUAACAUAACAUACUUUCCAA